rnacentral:rRNA from 1 species
UACAGAGGUCUCAAGCGUUGUUCGGAUUCAUUGGGCGUAAAGGGUGCGUAGGCGGCGCGGUAAGUCGGAUGUGAAAUCCCUCGGCUUAACCAAGGAAGUGCAUCCGAAACUGCUGUGCUUGAGUACUUAAGAGGAUCGCGGAAUUCCCGGUGUAGAGGUGAAAUUCGUAGAUAUCGGGAGGAACACCAGUGGCGAAGGCGGCGAUCUGGGAAGAUACUGACGCUGAGGUGCGAAAGCGUGGGGAGCAAACAGG